GUGCUCCCCUAGGCAGCAUCUACCCUAAAAUUGGAAUGAUACAGAGAAGAUUAGCAUGGC
ensembl:snRNA U6 U6 spliceosomal RNA